CCMGCUCCAAUAGCGUAUAUUUAAGUUGUUGCAGUUAAAAAGCUCGUAGUUGGAUUUCGGGUGGGUUCUAGCGGUCCGCCUAUGGUGAGUACUGCUAUGGCCUUCCUUUCUGUCGGGGACGGGCUUCUGGGCUUCACUGUCCGGGACUCGGAGUCGACGUGGUUACUUUGAGUAAAUUAGAGUGUUCAAAGCAGGCUUACGCCCUGAAUACUUUAGCAUGGAAUAACACGAUAGGACUCUGGCCUAUCUUGUUGGUCUGUAGGACCGGAGUAAUGAUUAAGAGGGACAGUCRGGGGCAUUCGUAUUUCAUUGUCAGAGGUGAAAUUCUUGGAUUUAUGAAAGACGAACUACUGCGAAAGCAUUUGCCAAGGAUGUUUUCAUUAAUCAAGAACGAAAGUUGGGGGCUCGAAGACGAUUAGAUACCGUCGUAGUCUCAACCAUAAACGAUGCCGACUAGGGAUUGGCGAAUGUUUUUUUAAUGACUUCGCCAGCACCUUAUGAGAAAUCAAAGUUUUUGGGUUCCGGGGGGAGUAUGGUCGCAAGGCUGAAACUUAAAGGAAUUGACGGAAGGGCACCACCAGGCGUGGAGCCUGCGGCUUAAUUCGACUCAAC
rnacentral:rRNA from 1 species